UACGGAGGAUCCAAGCGUUAUCCGGAUUUAUUGGGUUUAAAGGGUGCGUAGGCGGCCUGUUAAGUCAGGGGUGAAAGACGGUAGCUCAACUAUCGCAGUGCCCUUGAUACUGACGGGCUUGAAUGAACUAGAGGUAGGCGGAAUGUGACAAGUAGCGGUGAAAUGCAUAGAUAUGUCACAGAACACCGAUUGCGAAGGCAGCUUACUAUGGUUUUAUUGACGCUGAGGCACGAAAGCGUGGGGAGCGAACAGG
rnacentral:rRNA from 1 species